rnacentral:tRNA from 1 species
GCGAGGGUUGCAGAGUCUGGAGGCUGCUAUCUUUAUCAGCCGGGCAAUCAAAUGCGCAGGACUUAAGGUCUAGUUGUUUUUUAGAUAUCCUGUCCCUUAGUGGGUCCGAGGGUUCAAAACUCACUGAGGUAUAUCCUCUUUGGAUGGAAGUCCCUCCCCUCGCA